rnacentral:rRNA from 1 species
UACGGGGGGGGCAAGCGUUGUUCGGAAUUAUUGGGCGUAAAGGGUGCGUAGGCGGUCUGACACGUCUGAUGUGAAAUCUAUGGGCUCAACCCAUAGUCUGCAUCGGAAACUGUCGGGCUUGAGUAUGGGAGAGGUGAGUGGAAUUUCCGGUGUAGCGGUGAAAUGCGUAGAUAUUCGCAAGAACACCAGUGGCGAAGGCGGCUCACUGGCCCGGUACUGACGCUGAGGUGCGAAAGCGUGGGGAGCAAACAGG